GACGAACCGUGCUAACGUUGUUCGGAAUCACUGGGCUUAAAGGGCGCGUAGGCGGGUCGGCAAGUCAGGGGUGAAAGCCCGCGGCUCAACCGCGGAAGACGCUUUGAUACUGCCGGUCUGGAGGGAGGUAGGGGAGUGCGGAACUUCCGGUGGAGCGGUGAAAUGCGUAGAUAUCGGAAGGAACACCAGUGGCGAAAGCGGCGCUCUGGACCUCUUCUGACGCUGAGGCGCGGAAAGCCAGGGGAGCAAACGGG
rnacentral:rRNA from 1 species